GUCGAAGACUGCUCCUGCGGCCAGUACAAGGCCUGGGCCGCCGGCUCUUUACAACCCCACGCAGUGGGCUCGCCUGCAGCCCCCACCGGCUUGAACAAUAGGGCCCUAAACCGGGCAGGGAGAACCCUGUGCUUACACACAGCCAAGGCCUUUUCUGCUUCUCACACCACCCCACCAGGGAGUAGGCUGGGGGUACACAAGAAGUUGGGAGGAGACAUAGCUGGGACAGCUGACCCCAACUCACCAAAGGGAUAUUCCAGACCAUAUGACAUCAUGUUCAGCAUAUAAAGCUGAGGCUGUGGAGAAGACCACUCCAGAGCAGAUAACCAUCCUGCAGCUCAUGGAGGGCCUCAUGACAGAGCAGGUGGAUGUGCCCUGGAGGAAGCUGCAGCCUCUAAAGAGCGUACCUUUGGAGAGGAGGAAGUUUUCUGUCAUGAACUACAGCCCCUGGGGGACCCACACUGGAGCAGUCCAUUCCCGAAGGACUGUACCCCAUGGAGAGGACACAUGCUGGAGCAGUUAGUGAAGGACUAUCCUGUGGGAGAUAUCUUAUGUUGGAGCAGGGGAAAAAAUGUGAAGAGGAAGGAGUGGCAGAUAAGCUCUUAAGAACUGACUGCAACCUCCCAUUCCACAAGGGGGUUGGAACUAGAUCUCUAAGAUCCCUCCCAACCAAAAUCAUUCUACGAUUCUCUCCCCACCCCUGAAGUUGGGGGGGGGAAGAGGUAGAAAGUUGGAAAUGAAGGAGUGAAAGUGAGCCUGGGAAGAAAGGGGUUGGGGGAGGAAGGUGUUUUAGUUUUGUCUUUGUGUCUCAGCAUCCUACUUUAGUUUUAAUCGUCAAGAAAUGAAUUUGAGUUGUCAGUCUAAGUCAGGGAAAAGGAAAAGAGUUCGUGUUUCAGAAUAGAUGAGGACAGGAAAUAACACUUCUUGGUAGCCUAAACUUUAAUACUCUUUGUUCCCUUUGCUUUAUAUUAGUGGUGAUGAAUAAGAUGAAUGUCUUUCACACAUAUAAAUCAGAUUGAGUAGUUCUGGGUUUUUAAAAUAAAACAAAAGCCCACUUGAAUUGUAUUUGCCUAAAUAAACUUACAAACUUUCAGUUUUGAGAGCUUGGCAUUUAGUGUCUGUUAUUUCUAUUCAUUCUGAAAGGGGCUCUUCAAAUACAUGACCUUCCUUGGACUUGUUUAUUAAGAUAGGGUGGACUGUCAUCUCAGAUGCUUUUCAAAGACCUUGCAGGAAUUAAUCUUUUCUGGUUUUAAUGGGUUAAAUUUUUAUUUUGCUCAAAAUAAUAAUGUUUCCGGUUGGGUUUUAAUUGGGGGAUUGUUAAGGCAGUUUAAUGUAACAAAUGCCCUCUAAAUCAGCAGUGAUAAAUUAUCCUCUCUUUGGUCCUUUAUCAACAUAGACCUUAUACAGGGGUCUAAAUGCUCUUAACAGUGCUUUUGCAGCAUGGCUUGUAUAACUGUCUGUCAUGAAGUUUCUCUUCCUAGUGCCUUGUAUAAAUUGGCUGACUUUUCCUAGUUGUGUGUUCUGAUCAGGGGGACCUUUUUUUAAGAGGUAAGCUAGUGAAGCUAAACCUAAAACUACUGAAAAGAACUAGUGACCCUGUGACAGAACAUUUGUUUUUAAUGUUUGCCAGUGAUGUUUUUCUUGAAGUCUGUCUCUCCUGUCAUCUCCCCAAAGCAUA